GAAGGUAUAGCUCAAGCCGUAGAGCAUAUGCUCAGCAUGUAUAAGGUCCUGGGUUCAAUCCCCAGUACUUCCU
rnacentral:tRNA from 1 species